rnacentral:tRNA from 1 species
UCCUCGGUAGUAUAGUGGUUAGUAUCCCCGCCUGUCACGCGGGAGACGGGUUCGAUUCCCGCCGGGGAG